rnacentral:rRNA from 1 species
UACGAAGGGGGCUAGCGUUGCUCGGAAUGACUGGGCGUAAAGGGCGCGUAGGCGGAUGGCUUUGUCGGGCGUGAAAUUCCAGGGCUUAACCUUGGGGCUGCGUUCGAGACGGGUUGUCUUGAGUGGGGAAGAGGGUCGUGGAAUUCCCAGUGUAGAGGUGAAAUUCGUAGAUAUUGGGAAGAACACCGGUGGCGAAGGCGGCUCACUGGCUCAUUACUGACGCUCAGGCGCGAUAGCGUGGGGAUCAAACAGG